AUCCCAAAUAAGCUGAGUUAAUACAAGUGCUUAUUUGAUUCAUGGGAGGCCUAAAUUAAACUUAAUGGUGGUUUCGCUGAUAACGCCUUUUCUUUUUCUUUUUUUUUUCAAGCAGGCGUUUACUAGUAACCAUUCCCAUACAUAU
rfam:Capsicum annuum cultivar Zunla-1 chromosome 8, whole genome shotgun sequence